rnacentral:rRNA from 1 species
GUUAGGAAUAUUGGACAAUGGGCGCAAGCCUGAUCCAGCCAUGCCGCGUGAACGAUGAAGGCCUUCGGGUUGUAAAGUUCUUUAGCCGAUGAUUAUAAUGACUGUAGUCGGAAAAUAAGCCCCGGCUAACUUCGUGCCAGCAGCCGCGGUAAUACGAAGGAGGCGAGCGUUAUUCGGAAUCACUGGGCGUAAAGCGUGCGUAGGCGGUCUCGUAAGUUAGGAGUGAAAGCCCAGGGCUCAACCUUGGAAUUGCUCUUAAAACUGCAAGGCUAGAAUCUCGGAGAGGAUAGCGGAAUUUCCAGUGUAGCAGUGAAAUGCGUAGAUAUUGGAAGGAACACCAGUGGCGUAAGCGGCUAUCUGGACGAGUAUUGACGCUGAGGCACGAAAGCGUGGGGAUCAAACAGGAUUAGAUACCCUUGUAGUCC